rnacentral:rRNA from 1 species
UACGUAGUGGGCGAGCGUUGCCCGAAUUUACUGGGCGUAAAGCGCACGUAGGCGGCUUCGUAAGUCUGGUGUGAAAUCUCACGGCUCAACCGAGAGGCUGCACCAGAUACUGCGAAGCUCGAGGACGGGAGAGGAGAUCGGAAUUCCCGGUGUAGCGGUGAAAUGCAUUGAUAUCGGGAGGAACACCAGUGGCGAAGGAGGAUCUCGGGCCCGUUGCUGACGAUGAGGUGCGAAAGCUGGGGGAGCGAAAGGG